rnacentral:lncRNA from 1 species
UGGGGGGACCUUGAAGUAGAUGUUGAUGGAGAGACAGAAGUCACAGGCCAGGAGGUCUUGGCAAUGGCUUUAAGGGACGACUGCAGGGUGGUGGGCUGGUGUCUGUCAAUGUGGCCUUGCUGCUGUGGCAGGCACAGUUCUGAGUGCUUCACCGUGUCUCCCCAGACCUCCAGAAGCCUGUUUGUGUCUGGAAGUGCUGGUGGGUGGAUAUGUGGGGAUGGUGAACACUUGGAUCUUUACAGGAUUCUGGUUCUAAAGGAAAGACAGAUGAGCAGAAAGGACUGCUGUCGAGGGUGGCACCCAGCUACGGUGAUCCGCCCAGGAUCUGCUGAGGCCAGAGACCACCGAUCUGUUGGCUGCUGGUGAUUUGACAUUUUCUCCUCAAAGGCUCCCCAGUGAAGGAGGCAAGCUGCCUGCAAGGCUGAAAGGUACCCGUGAGGGCCC